UACGUAGGAUGCAAGCGUUGUCCGGAAUUAUUGGGCGUAAAGAGCGCGCAGGCGGUAUGACAAGUCAGAUGUGAAAGAGGCCGGCUUAACCGGCAAGGGUCAUUUGAAACUGUCAGACUAGAGUGCAGCAGAGGAUAGUGGAAUUCCCGGUGUAGUGGUGAAAUGCGUAGAGAUCGGGAGGAACACCAGUGGCGAAGGCGGGUCUCUGGGCAGUAACUGACGCUGAGGAGCGAAAGCGUGGGGAGCGAACAGG
rnacentral:rRNA from 1 species